rnacentral:lncRNA from 1 species
CGUUAAAGGACGCGUUAGGCUGGAUGACCUCCACCUGCUCUCAGCCCUGCCUGUCCUGGGGCCUCCUGGAGGCUGGUGCUGGGACAGCUGAGGAGCGUCUGCCCUCCAGCCGCUGCAGUUUGGGGCGCUGAUGGCGAGGAAGGAUGACGGGCCUGUCGCACGUAACGGAAC